ACUGAUGCGGAGCUCCAGCUUCGGUUCUGGAAAUACGUUAGGAAGACCGAGGGGAGCGGAAUGUGUACCGAUGUCUGUGCCCGGUGCUGCAGCCCAUCCACUGUGGAGGAUUAUAGGGUUACUGACCUGGGCACAGGGAUCGCGACUCGGAGCAAAAUAAUACAGAAGAUAAGGGAGAGACGUUUAAUGGGUCCUCAGAUUAUACGGGAGCCAUGACUGAAUGAAAAACAAUUGCAUGAGCCUGUCAUACGGUUCAAAGGGCUCGUGGUGGUCUUGGGCAUGAGCAGCAGAUUCAAUCUCCACGAUGGAUCAGAACAAUUUCAUUUCAUUUGAGCCCCUCAAAAACAAGCCUAUCUCAUCCUCGCAGCAUUGUGUCGCUGCCGAGAAUGUGGCGCCCUUAACGGCCACCGAUUUGGGCCCCGCCCGCCUUACAGACACUCCAUUUUUGAGCGCAUCCCAGCCAGCUCCGGAAACCAUCGUGUUGACUUAAUGAACUGAUAGUAAACACUAUUAAGUUCUUAUCGCAAA